rnacentral:snoRNA from 1 species
UGCCAGCGUUAAGUCAAGGCUCCUUCCGCAUCUCGUGUGCUUUUUCUCCCCAUGGAAGGAGACUGUUACAACUCUGGCAGAUCGAACUCGGCCCGCCGCUAGACCCCGUUAUGGACGUCUAGUAGAUCGCUUGCCGUUUUGGCUUGCUUUCAAAAGGGUUCGAACGUGUUUCGUUUGAGUUGAGUACCUCUCCCGCUCCAACGAGUGGCUCAUGGAGGCUCUCUUAGUUAUGAUUCACACAUCU